rnacentral:lncRNA from 1 species
AGACGAGAGCCGAAACGCCCACCCCAAGCCUUGACCUUGAACAUAGCAACACAGUUUCUGCACAAACGAAGGCUCGCUACUCAUCAGAUGGUACAGAAUAGGGGUGCCCAUGUCCGAAAUCAUGAACCCUUCAAGUCUGUCAGGGCGGUCUUGGUGGCAGCAGAAAUCACAGCAUCUGAAGCAUUGGGCAGGUAAUAGUAUUUUCCUGUGCAGAGUAAGACAAAAGGUUGCAUUCAGGUCUUCAGGACAGUUCGGCAGGGGUUAAAGAAUAGUUUGCAAUAUUUCAAAAGGACAAAAAAAAAAGAAAAAUGGUGUCAAAACUCAAAAGCAUUUGAUGGAUUUGCCAUUCCGAAUGUACCUUGGGCAACCCUUGCAAUUUCCUUGGCAAAUCCUGUAGAUACAAACUUGUUCUCAGUGUCAAUGACAAGAAGCGACAUUCCUGCCUUGUAUAUUUUGCCAGCCACCUCAAGUAUCUCAUCCUUGGAAGAGAUAAAUAAAUCAUAUUAGCCUUCAAUAGUCUACAUAAACUUCUAAAAGAAAGCAAUUUGGAAUUGGUUUAGACCACAGUGGAAAAAAUUGAAAAGGCAGUUACACUAUCCCAUCAUUGUUGGAACUUGAUACUUCCCAUAUCUUACUACUUCGUAGAUAUUAGCAAAGCAGUAGUACCUUUAAUUCUUGAGUAGAAGGUCUUGGUGCAUCUGAAGCAGCAGCAGCUUCUGGAUCAGUGGACCUCUUCAGUGAUACAUUAGCUCUUCCAUCGGUGAUUGCAACAAUCAUAAUUCGUCCGACAUCCCCACUCUUCUCAGCAUUCAAACCCACUCUGAC